rnacentral:rRNA from 1 species
AUGUGCAUCGCAUUUGCAUACAUGUUCGUCUCAUGCAUCCGAGCAUUUUCUCCAUUGUCCGUUUUGCUUUCCGGCGCUCCUAUGUCAUCCGGUGUCCCCUUUUACCUCUUUUUGUGUGCGGGUGUUAAACGUUCUCGUAUUGGACCGAGACUUUCCAAGCGGCCUUGGUAUACUACCGGUAGACCGCCUGUCAAAUUUCGUACCAUUUUGACUUCGUUUGAUACUCCAACGGUUAACCGAGGAACCGAAAAAGCCUCGUGUGUGUUUCAGCCCAACACCCCUCCAAAGUGGCCCAAAACAGAUGCAGGGACCGAUGAUACCGCUCCAGGAGAUGCGACUGAGCUCAAGUGGGAGUUCGAUGAGGACUCGGGACAAUACUACGUUUCCUUUCCAGACGAUCAGUAG